CCGGAGCCAUCUCGGCUCAAG
rnacentral:sRNA from 1 species